rnacentral:rRNA from 1 species
UACGAGGGGGGCGAGCGUUGUUCGGAAUUAUUGGGCGUAAAGGGUGCGUAGGCGGUUCCGCAAGUCCUGUGUGAAAUCUUCGGGCUCAACUCGAAGUCUGCACGGGAAACUGCGGGGCUUGAGUGUGGGAGAGGUGAGUGGAAUUCCCGGUGUAGCGGUGAAAUGCGUAGAGAUGUGGAGGAAUACCGAUGGCGAAGGCAGCCCCCUGGGAUAACACUGACGCUCAUGCACGAAAGCGUGGGGAGCAAACAGA